rnacentral:rRNA from 1 species
GAUGAACGCUGGCGGCGUGCCUAAUACAUGCAAGUCGAGCGAACGGACGAGAAGCUUGCUUCUCUGAUGUUAGCGGCGGACGGGUGAGUAACACGUGGAUAACCUACCUAUAAGACUGGGAUAACUUCGGGAAACCGGAGCUAAUACCGGAUAAUAUUUUGAACCGCAUGGUUCAAAAGUGAAAGACGGUCUUGCUGUCACUUAUAGAUGGAUCCGCGCUGCAUUAGCUAGUUGGUAAGGUAACGGCUUAUCAAGGCAACGAUGCAUAGCCGACCUGAGAGGGUGAUCGGCCGCACUGGAACUGAGACACGGUCCAGACUCCUACGGGAGGCAGCAGUAGGGAAUCUUCCGCAAUGGGCGAAAGCCUGACGGAGCAACGCCGCGUGAGUGAUGAAGGUCUUCGGAUCGUAAAACUCUGUUAUUAGGGAAGAACAUAUGUGUAAGUAACUGUGCACAUCUUGACGGUACCUAAUUAGAAAGCCACGGCUAACUACGUCGCCCCAGCCGCGGUAAUUCUUAGGUGGCACGCGUUAUCCGGAAUUUUUGGCCGCAAAGCGCGCGUAGGCGGUUUUUUAAGUCUGAUGUGAAAGCCCACGGCUCAACCGUGGAGGGUCAUUGGAAACUGGAAAACUUGAGUGCAGAAGAGGAAAGUGGAAUUCCAUGUGUAGCGGUGAAAUGCGCAGAGAUAUGGAGGAACACCAGUGGCGAAGGCGACUUUCUGGUCUGUAACUGACGCUGAUGUGCGAAAGCGUGGGGAUCAAACAGGAUUAGAUACCCUGGUAGUCCACGCCGUAAACGAUGAGUGCUAAGUGUUAGGGGGUUUCCGCCCCUUAGUGCUGCAGCUAACGCAUUAAGCACUCCGCCUGGGGAGUACGACCGCAAGGUUGAAACUCAAAGGAAUUGACGGGGACCCGCACAAGCGGUGGAGCAUGUGGUUUAAUUCGAAGCAACGCGAAGAACCUUACCAAAUCUUGACAUCCUUUGACAACUCUAGAGAUAGAGCCUUCCCCUUCGGGGGGGCAAAGUGACAGGUGGUGCAUGGUUGUCGUCAGCUCGUGUCGUGAGAUGUUGGGUUAAGUCCCGCAACGAGCGCAACCCUUAAGCUUAGUUGCCAUCAUUAAGUUGGGCACUCUAAGUUGACUGCCGGUGACAAACCGGAGGAAGGUGGGGAUGACGUCAAAUCAUCAUGCCCCUUAUGAUUUGGGCUACACACGUGCUACAAUGGACAAUACAAAGGGCAGCGAAACCGCGAGGUCAAGCAAAUCCCAUAAAGUUGUUCUCAGUUCGGAUUGUAGUCUGCAACUCGACUACAUGAAGCUGGAAUCGCUAGUAAUCGUAGAUCAGCAUGCUACGGUGAAUACGUUCCCGGGUCU